rnacentral:miRNA from 1 species
GGGCUCCGAAUGUAGGUCGUGACUUGUGCCCGUUUGCUGAAUUUUAAUGGUCAAAUUGCACUUGUCCCGGCCUGCAGCCAAGAGCC